AGCGAACGCUGGCGGCAGGCUUAACACAUGCAAGUCGAGCGGGCGUAGCAAUACGUCAGCGGCAGACGGGUGAGUAACGCGUGGGAACGUACCUUUUGGCUCGGAACAACACAGGGAAACUUGUGCUAAUACCGGAUAAGCCCUUACGGGGAAAGAUUAAUCGCCGAAAGAACGGCCCGCGUCUGUUUAGCGAGUUGGUGAGGUAACGGCUCACCAAGGCGACGAUCAGUAGCUGGUCUGAGAGGAUGAUCAGCCACAUUGGGACUGAGACACGGCCCAAUCUCCUACGGGAGGCAGCAGUGGGGAAUAUAGGACAAUGAGCGCAACCCUGAUCCAGCCAUGCAGCGUGAAUGAUGCAGGACCUAGGGUUGUAAAGCUCUUUUGUGCGGAAAGAUAAUGCCGGUACCGCAAGAAUAAGCCCCGGCUAACUUCGUGCCAGCCGCCGCCGUAACAC
rnacentral:rRNA from 1 species